GCUGGUGACAGUAUAACGCUGGCGGUUGUGCGAUGGUGAUCGAAACUGUGUCGCUGGUGAAAUUAACUUGACAUUACACUUUCUGAACACGUCGUUGCAAUUAAACAUUGUGAAUAUCGAACAAGCUGCUUCGUUUCUUUUAAACCUUGUUGAACUUUUCUACUCCCUACAAUUUCAAGUGACGUGUAUAUAUAAAUACAUACAUACAUGUAUAUAUAUUUAUUAUAUAUAUGUAUGUAUACAUAUCUGUAAUCAUCGCGUUAAAAUAUCGACUAAACCGCGGCGAGAAUUCCUUCGGAUAAAAGGGUAUAUAAUAUAAUAUCAUUACCUCUUGUCUCAAAGUGGUGCGCGAAAUUUUCUUUAGAUAUAAUUACCGUGGAAAGUGACUUGAAUUGAAAAUGUCGCCGAGCUUUCAACGCUGCAGACUAUAAAACGCCUCUGGGGAGCUGUGGACAGCACUCAUAAAAAUUGUGCAAUGAAACGUGGAACGGCGAGACGGACGAACUUUGACUUUUACUGAAAACAAGAUCAAGUAAGUUCGAAACACCGCACUGGCGAUAACUUGGAAUUUGGAUGAGUGUGUGAUUACCUUUCACAAAACUCGGCGGUGAACGAAACGGCGGUGCUGCUGUUUAUUGGAGCUCGGACUCACCUCGUUCGAACUCAUUAUCGUCAGGUAUAACGACUCGUGGUAAUCGAACGCUUGGAAGACUGCAGACCGCACUCCUGUUUUCAUAAGCCGCCCCAGACGAAGGACGAAAGAAUUCUCGGCUACCGGCCUCGGAAGCUGAAUCGCUGCCGCUGAAGCAGAGGACGAGAUAUCCGCCGACUACGCCCCGCUAAGCUGACCCCAGAAAAGUCCCUGUGGCGGUCACUCCCCGAUCCCACGGCGAAGGUCGCUUACGGACACACUCGCUCCAGACUUCGGAUCUCAUCGUACCUCGCGGUCCAACCGAGCCCGGGAUGCGGGAGAACGAGACGAGAAAACCCGGGAUCCCUCAACCGGAGACUGGGAAUGCGUGUCGCGCCGCUACCCCUCGGCUGGGCCAGACGAUCGUCUGACCUGCGCUGCAGGUCUCUCUUCAAAGGAAGUCUGGGCAUGGGGACCUUUCCCCGUCAGCUACCUGCUAUACGUCCUUUCUACGUUUUUCGUUCCUAGACCGUUCCUAGAACUAUUCUUCGGUCCUGCAUUUUACCGAGAAGGCGCAGUAUUGUUGGUGACUCCGUUUUCGAAGCAGGUCAAGAAAAUGUGAUGUUUCAUUUUCUGUAAGGUUUCUAGCAACCCUUAGAAUUGAAUUCUGUAACAGGUAAAUGGUAAUGAGAUGUUUGAAUAACACGCAGAAAAGGACGGGGGGGUGAAAAAUAUACUAAUUCGCUGAAAAAUUGUUAUACAUAAGUAACAUUGAAGAGAUGUCGCUAUUACUGUUAAAUAAUCUCCACGAUAAUCAGUCGUUUCAGUUAAAGAUUGAAUUAGGUUUUUGCAGGUUGUCGAUAUCGCCUCAGUUUUUUUUCUUUUCACGGUACACGUAUACGUUGUUUAUUGUUUCAUUUUUAAUAUAUUUCAAACAUUAAUUUUCCCUCCUCUGAAUUUUCAUCAAAUAACGGUCUACCUUACACAC